rnacentral:lncRNA from 12 species
UUAGUUUAGUUUGUUGUCAAAUGUAACCCAGACAUUUCUUUGUGGAAUUGAAAUAUAUUUUAAUUAAGUUCAUUAUAACUUAAGCUUAGCAUUCUCACAGGAUUCUACAAAGGUCUGAUCUGAAAAUAAUUUGAAUCAAUCCGUAUGCUCAGAAACCUCAGUAAUUUAAAAAGAAAAAAAAAAUGUUUUAUAUAAGACAUUUUUCAAGUCAUUACACAUCUCUCCUGACUUCAGGUCCUCCUGGGAAACGUGGCCGGAUGGGCAGAAGAGGCGACCCUGCACUGUUCAGGGUCCACUCGGUCUGGAUGGCAAACCUGGUAUCCCUGGACCUAAAGGAAGCCAGGGUUUGCCAGGACCAAAAGGAGAUAAGGGUGAUCAAGGAGACACCGGGCCAAGGGUCAGUACACGCAUACUUCUGUCACUUUGAAUAAAUUUAUAUAUUAAUACUUUCCCUUACAGUCAGAGGAACAGAAUGUCAAAUGUGCCUCAGAAUAAUGAGGGUGAUGCCUGACUAGAUAUUAAUCACAUUUAUGAAGAUACAUCAUAAAUCAGAACUGAAGGGCUGAACUGUGUGUGGCAGAGGGCUGAAUGCAUUCAGCAUUCACUCUUUCUAUUAUUGUAUUGAUCUUUCUUUAUUAUUUUUCUCACACACAUUCAAAGAAGUGGCAAUACAUGAAUGGGCAGAUAUGAGAGAUGGGUAACUAAAGUAGAUAUGGGAAGAAAAAAAAAAUAUAUUUUUUUUUAUUGGGUUGGGUAAUUUUUUUAGAGUGACCACACCCACAUGUGGCAGUAGUGGCCCCAAUCCAAACAUAGGAUUAUUUGGUCAAUAUUUGGCUGUGAUCAUGAAAUUAAUGAAAUGAUCAUCAUUAAACAAAGAAGUGUUCAUUUUGCCCUGUGUGUUUCGAAAUUCACCAAUAUUUUUGUCAAUUUACCAACAUUUGUGUCAACUUCCAUUUUUUUUAAUACACUGUAAAAUGAGUAUUUAUUUAAUAAAUUAAUCACUAUACUUUAUAUAAAUAAAAAUGGUUUAUAUACAGUAUAAACACACACAUACAUUCAAACGUAAUCAUAUUAUAAAAUUGUACUUUUUUUAAAUGACUUGAACAGUGCUCUGAUACAUAUCCUGCUCCUCUUGUAUGUUUAAAAGAAACAAUCAUGGGAGUUAUCUAUUUUGAUUCACUAAGGAGUGUGCUGUGUGUGUAUCUGUAUAUGUGUUGAUUGCAUGUUUCAGAGCACAAAAAUGAAAAAUGUCUACAGGCCAGCUAAAUCCAACAAACCUCUCUGUGGGGAAGCUCUCAAAAAGAAAAUAUACAAAGUAAAUGAUGUCUUUAUUUUCUUCUAAAAAUGCCACAAGUUUUAUUUUAGGGUUGGGGUUAGUCUGCUGAAAAUAUAAUUAGCGUAAUUUAUAUAAUGUAAGAACAAUAGAAGUCUAUGGGAAGCUUAGUUAGCUGAGAGUGUGUGUAGUGCCGAGUAAAGCAGCAGUGUGGGAAACCUCAAGCAUCCCUCAGGUCACCACAUCCCUGCUAACUCAACCCUCAUGCUCACGCUGGCAUCGACAUGCUGUGUCACUCUUACUUUCUCUCUGUUUUGCUCUUUUUUUUCUCUUUCUCUGUUGCAAGGCUUUAGUUCUCCGAUUUUUUGAAGCUAACUUUAAUUAGCUUUUUAACUUUGCCAAAGUUUUUCUGCAACAUUUAAUACAAUUUAAUAAUAAGUGAAAAGCUAUAAAAUAAUUUUGUCAGUUUCUCAAUUUCAGCGAGAGAAAAAAGUGACAUCCUUCCUUACAUGGACGGCACAACCUUAUUGAAAAUCAUUUGCGGCAGGCAUGUGACAUUUCUCUGUGCUUCUCGAGCAGCUCUUUGUUACUGCUGUCAGCACAAUCCAGCCCUCAAAUUGUGGUUUGCAGAGACCAGUGAACAUAAAUAUGUUGUUCAGACCAAUGUGAUUUAAGACAACAAAAAUAAAACCAUGGUUUUUGUCCAGUGUUAUUUCAGGGUGGCAAGACCAACAAUUUGACAUUAUUUGGUCAUUUUGUAUUUGAAUCACAGUUCUAUUCAGGCAGUCCGUAUUUAGAGCAAGUUAAAAUUGCAAGUAUUGUUUUUAAUUUUCAUGACAUGGCAUGAGUUUGAAUAACCGAUCCAGUCAUAUCCAAUGAGAACUCAACAAUAUAUAUUGGAUGUAUACACAGGAGCCUGUAAGGAAAUGGGAUUUUAGUCAUAAUUAUUAUACUGUAUUAUAUUAUGUUAUGUUAUGUUAUGUUAUGUUAUGUUAUAUAAUGACAGCAAAUAAAUAAAAGAGAGAUAAAAUUGCUUAAUUUAAAUAAACACUUAUUUUACAUUUUUUUAACAGAAUCAUAAAAAUACUAAAGUGAAUUAAAAUGACAGAAAAUGUAUCCCAUCAUUUGGGAUCAGUAAGAUUUUUUAAAUGUCUUUGAAAGAAGUCUCUAUUUAUUUGAUCAGAAAUACAAUAAAUACAGUAAUACUGUGUUUUCUAUUUUAAUAUAUUUUAAAAUGUAAUUUAUUCCUGUGAUGCAAAGCUGUAUUUUUAGCAUCAUUACUCCAGUUAUCACAUUAUCCAGUGUCACAUGAUCCUUCAGAAAUUCUUCAUAUAUGCAGAUUUGAUGAUAAAGAAAAAAAUAUUUUACUAACCUUUUUGUUUUACUGAAACUUUUGAAAGGCACACUGUGCAUUGACAAGGAUGGUGGUAAAUUUUGAGACACAGUGUUUCAUUGCUUUUAUUUCAAAAUAGUCAAAAAUAAUUGGUCUGAACGUUAUGUAUAGAUCUGUCAUUAGAAGGGUGUAUCUUGAACUAAAGCUAAAUCAACCAAAAUCCUGCAAAGUGCUUUACUGGAUUUGAUAUUUCACAAUCUGGUGGCAGCGAAAU